UGGGGAAUAUUGCACAAUGGGCGCAAGCCUGAUGCAGCCAUGCCGCGUGUGUGAAGAAGGCCUUCGGGUUGUAAAGCACUUUCAGCGGGGAGGAAGGCGUUAAGGUUAAUAACCUUGGCGAUUGACGUUACCCGCAGAAGAAGCACCGGCUAACUCCGUGCCAGCAGCCGCGGUAAUACGGAGGGUGCAAGCGUUAAUCGGAAUUACUGGGCGUAAAGCGCACGCAGGCGGUCUGUCAAGUCGGAUGUGAAAUCCCCGGGCUCAACCUGGGAACUGCAUUCGAAACUGGCAGGCUAGAGUCUUGUAGAGGGGGGUAGAAUUCCAGGUGUAGCGGUGAAAUGCGUAGAGAUCUGGAGGAAUACCGGUGGCGAAGGCGGCCCCCUGGACGAAGACUGACGCUCAGGUGCGAAAGCGUGGGAGCAAACAGG
rnacentral:rRNA from 1 species